rnacentral:lncRNA from 1 species
ACCAUCUUCACAAUGGACCUCUUCAAGUCCUUUGAAGACAUGAAGGUGUUGGCCCCAGGAUGCUCCCCAUCAAGCCUUUGUGGGAAUUCUUGACAGAAGAACAAAGCCCUUUGGCAGGAGUGGAAAGAUAUGUGGUGACACAUUCCAGAAGGCAUUCCUCGAUUGGACGCGUGGGCGGUUUGAAAUAGACCAGCUUUGUGGACGCGAUCUCCUCCAUUGUCUUGCCUGCUCACAGGAGAUGCAUGCUGUAUCAGUGGAUAGGAAUUGCAAGAAAUACUGCUUCCAUAAAGCUUCAGGCUCCAGCACACUUCAAUUAAGAAGAUCAACCUAAUUGCCCCUUUCCUUGCCACGGUGGAGAGACUUGCGUACUCCAAUUACCCUGAGUGCUAAGCCAGAAGGGGGUUUAUAGUCCCGGCAGGUGCAACCAAGCCGGCCAGGUCAAAGGGUAGGAGGCAGACAAAACAGUCCAUAGUCCUCCAUGUCGGGGGUUGGGCUUGGGGCUAACUACCCCACCCCGGAAGAACUGAAAGAUUGACAUAUGGAAACCAAAUAAACUGCCCCAAAGCAGAACAUUUUCUUGGACACAUCUUACUGCUGAAGGGAGAAGCUGACAGCGAAGGACAAUUACUUUUUGGGCUUAACUGAUGAUGCUAGGAUGAUAUUAUGUUAUGAUAUGUUAAUGAUUUUAUUGUUGUUUUUUUUAAAUCUUACACAUGACUGUAAUUGCAGUCUUUAUGUUGAUUGGUUAGGCACACAGUAGUAAUUUAUUAGAAUAACUGACUGAAGAUGUUUUUCCAACAGUACGGGGGCUUUCAUUAAAAAAAAUGUUUUACCUGC